rnacentral:rRNA from 1 species
AGAGAGAAGUUCAAGAGUACGUGAAACCGUUUAGGGGUAAACCUGAGAAACCCGAAAGGUCGAAAGGAGAAAUUCAUUCGCGUUUCGAGGUAAGCGUUUAGCGGAGUGUUGCGACGAAACGGGCGACCGUUUCGCGUCCUUCGUUUUUCGAUCUUGCAGCGAACGCGUGCACUUUUCUCCUAGUAGGACGUCGCGAUCCGUUGGGUGUCGGUUUACGAAUGUUGCGAUGGAGCCCGUUUGUAGCGUUUUCGGACGUUUUUACUUACGAACUCGUGCAUUCUAACCGGCUCGCUCGACGGUAUCCCAUAUGGUUUGGAGCCGCUUUUAAAGCGUCUGACUCGUGACAAGCGCGCUAGUCUGUUGGCCUUCGGACCUAGUGCCGAUUCUGACACCUAGUGACUGUUGGUUGCGAUGUUCUUGGACAGACUCUAACAAACCGAUCGGCGACGCUAUAGCUUUGGGUACUUUCAGGACCGUUCUUGAA